rnacentral:rRNA from 1 species
UACAGGGGGUGCAAACGUUGCUCGGAAUCAUUGGGCGUAAAGCGCACGUAGGCGGUUCGUUAUGUCGGAUGUGAAAGCCCUUGGCUUAACCGAGGAAGUGCAUCCGAAACUGGCGAGCUAGAGUACUAAAGAGGAUCGCGGAAUUCCCGGUGUAGAGGUGAAAUUCGUAGAUAUCAGGAAGAACACCGAUGGCGAAGGCAGAUCUCUGGGCCGUAACUGACGCUGAGGAGCGAAAGCAUGGGGAGCGAACAGG